GCAGCAUCUCUACAGGGGAUGAGGUGGGGGAAGGGUGUCAGAUGCUAGACACUGGCCAGCCCUCACCUGCACAGCUGCUCUGCAUUGUUUAGAUUGAGAUGCUGCCUCACAGUCCUGGUCACCAGGCCCCCUAACAUGAGAUAAAUGUGAAAGGACAGCAGACACAAGCCCCUGCCCAACACAAAGGUCCCCACUGUCCGUGGAGAAGAGAAAACGGAGGUUCCCAGACAGGGGAGUCCCCCUGCUUCUCAACAAUGUGGUGGUCUACUCCCCACCCACACAGAGGGGAACCAUCUCCAGUGAGAACGUCUCCCGGGUCCAGCCCACCUCUUCCCUUAAGGGCAGACCUGGGAGCUGCACUCACUCCAGCUGUCUGGCAUGACUUUCAAUGCCAAGGGCACCAGGUCAUCAAAGGAGGCAUCCAGGAUCACGGCACUAAUGUCCGGGUAGGACAUGGCGGCCCACGUAGCUGGUACCAGGAAAGGAAAGAAAGGGUGAGGACCAAGGGGCUCCUGCCCACCCCCACCCCUACCCUCAUCGCCCUGACCCUACAGGCUCACCCCAUCCUGCCUACUAAGUUAGCCCCAGGUCUUGCCUUAACCCCUCGCUUCACUCGGCCAGGGCACUGUCCAAAGAGAACAACGAAGCGCACUGAAGACAAUACCAGAGGCAACAUUUACUCCUUGAUCUCCCCAGGUUCUACUUUUAAUCAUCGGGCACAAGGGUGGAAGGAAAUGUGAAGUGUACUCAAAUAUGAUAGCUUCUUCCAGACCCACUCAGAGAGCCCACCUAUUCUCUCCUCCACCCGACUCCCGGGGAGACACAGAGAUGGCUUGAGUGUGCCUACAGUAGCGGGGUAGGAAGGAGGUGGGUUACCAGUGAAGCCGCCGAUGGACCAGGCAUAGAGGAUGAUAUCCUGGGGCUGAAAGCCCAGGCGGUGGAUGGCAAACUGGACCACCACAUCCAUGGCGUUGGCCUCAUUCUGUGGGAACGGCACCCCCUGCAGGAAGAAGGGCAAAGGGUGAGCACAAAAGACCACCUGCCCACCACCCCACCCUCCCAGCAUGGACCCUUCCUGCAGCUACACUGCAACAGACAGCGAAGAUGGAACUGCAGCUCUGAACAGACAAUUCAGAGAGCUAUCAUCUUACUUAAUGGAAUAGACUCCUGUCAGUGGCAUUAAAAAUAAAUAAAUAAUAGGGCCAAGAGAGGGGCUGUUCUCUCUAGAAACCAGUCAUUUAUAACAAGAUCCACUAUCUCCCCUCCUGCCAAACCCCCAGUGUAAGAGGAGGAGGCUUGCAGCUCCCCACCCUUGGCACCCAGGUCACAGGUGAGUGGGAGGUCCUACAGAAAUACAGACCCCUUUCCGUGACUCCAGUGACUGACCACAGGGAGACAGGCUAUAAUUCAGGAAAAAGAAUUCAGAGAAGGCCUCACCGUGCUUCCAGCAAAGCCUGGAUGAUUCCAGCCCAGGACUGAAUAUCCAGCUGUAACACAGAGGGAGAAAGGGCUGGGACCUCAUGGCCUAUGACCUCUGGCCACUCUCUGCUCCUAGCUCUGGGGGAAGGAGCAGAAGGACACUGGAACUCUUAACACCCAACUCAGAAGCAAAUAACUCCAAGCCUUCCCAGAAUGGGAAGAUGCCAAAAAGGUUCUGAUGCAGCAGAAGGGACAGAGAUGUGACUAUUGAGGCGUGGGAACAGAACCAAGAGCAUAAUAGGGUAAGGGACACAGCCCAAGGGGAGGGAUGUAAGGUUAGCAAAGCAAAUGGGUAAUAGGCUUUUCCCGAAGGCAAGGGUCUCAAACCUCACUCAGAGAAGGUGGUUAGGCCCUGGGAGGUCCUAUCCAUGUGGGGAGGUGGGGACAUUCCAUCCCAAGGGGCGGAGAUAAGAGGGCUGAGCCAUGGGCCUACCUUCCAGAGGUGUGGAGACGCAGCCCACCUCAUAGAAGCCUGCGUUCCCCUCACAGCAGAUCACCUAGAAAGGGAGCAGGAAGAAGCCCAGUUGGGACUGAAAAUCCCCCUACUGGCAGGGAGGGCAGCCUCUGGGGGCCCUGCAUGUGGACUUAAUGAACCAAUAUACGUACCAAUUUUUCAAACAUCUUUUGUUUGGUUUUUGGUUUUUGGCUGUGCCAUGUGUUUUGCGGGAUCUUCCUUCCCCAACCAGAGACUGAACCCAUGUCCUCAGCAGAGAAAGUGUGGAGUCCUAACCACUGGACUGGCAGAGAACUCCCUUCUCUAACUAUUUUUACUGUAACCUUUUAAAGAUACUUUAUAUCGUGGUCUAGGACACACAUAUGCAUAUAUUAAUCUUGAAAGUUUUAUGAGAUAACACUUUGUAUAUACAACAAGUAAAAGCAAAGUAAUUAACAAUCAUGAUUCUGCUAAUGUAUUUAUUAAAAGUCCCCAAAUAAAUAAUACUGUUUAUUA